CCCGAGAUAUCUCUGCAGCUCUUUCCUGAUCAGAGGACUUCCUAUGUCCCUCCUUCGCAGCUACAGUAGGUCCAGAAACUUCAGACUUAGCCAAAGUGGGAUGUCGCUUCACCUUCUGUAAGCUUCUUUCACGGUUAUAUGCUUCAACCUACACCAAGAAUACAGAGCACACCAAAAUGUCAGUUGUUGAAUCUUUUGGAUCCGAAAAAGAAAAACGAUUUAGAUUUAGAAACCUUACUUCUUCUCUAAUUAUCUUUGUUGUUGCAGCAGCUCUUGAAGAAGCAAGACGCAUACAAUGAAGGAUUACACUCUGGCUCAAGCCUUCUUCACCCGGUUUCUGAAUUGCACAUAUGUCGCCAUUUGCAUUAACUGUCACAGUCAUUCUCUCACACAUUACUGCUUCUUCAAACAGUUGAAGUUGAGAAUUGCCUUUUCUACUUAACAAGUUCUUACAGGUUUCUCUAAACCGAAAACAUAUGACUA
rnacentral:lncRNA from 1 species